rnacentral:rRNA from 1 species
UACGGAGGAUCCGAGCGUUAUCCGGAUUUAUUGGGUUUAAAGGGUGCGCAGGCGGGAGAUUAAGUCGGCGGUGAAAUUUUGCAGCUCAACUGUAAAAGUGCCUUCGAAACUGGUUUCCUUGAGUGUAGAUGAAGUAGGCAGAAUUUGUGGUGUAGCGGUGAAAUGCAUAGAUAUCACGAGGAACUCCGAUUGCGCAGGCAGCUUACUAAACUACUACUGACGCUCAGGCACGAAAGGCGUGGGGAUCAAACAGGAUUAGACUACCCCCGUA